GGCGGACGGGUGAGUAACGCGUGAGAAUCUGCCUUCAGGUCUGGGACAACCACUGGAAACGGUGGCUAAUACCGGAUGUGCCGAGAGGUGAAAGGUUAACUGCCUGAAGAGGAGCUCGCGUCUGAUUAGCUUGUUGGUGGGGUAAGAGCCUACCAAGGCGACGAUCAGUAGCUGGUCUGAGAGGAUGAUCAGCCACACUGGGACUGAGACACGGCCCAGACUCCUACGGGAGGCAGCAGUGGGGAAUUUUCCGCAAUGGGCGAAAGCCUGACGGAGCAAUACCGCGUGAGGGAGGAAGGCUCUUGGGUUGUAAACCUCUUUUCUCAGGGAAUAAAAAAAUGAAGGUACCUGAGGAAUAAGCAUCGGCUAACUCCGUGCCAGCAGCCGCGGUAAUACGGAGGAUGCAAGCGUUAUCCGGAAUGAUUGGGCGUAAAGCGUCCGCAGGUGGCUAUGUAAGUCUGCUGUUAAAGAGCAAGGCUCAACCUUGUAAAGGCAGUGGA
rnacentral:rRNA from 1 species